CGCGGCAACAAUGAGAGUAACAAUCAGUAAUAUUAGCAGCAAAAGGAGAUAGCAAUGACAAUUCUGCAAAGGCAUACCUGCGAAAUACAAUGUAUAGCGGUCUAUACAUCCUAUUUUAUGUGAGAUUUAAAAUUAUAUAAAAUAAAAUGACAUAUGUACUAGCUACCAGAUAAAAUCUUUUAGAAUGAACAGGGGUGGGUGGGUCGGGAAAAGGUAUCGAAGCACAAAACUUGCUGCAGCUAGGCAAAGCAUACAAUGGCAGAA